rnacentral:rRNA from 1 species
UAGGGAAUCUUCGGCAAUGGGGGCAACCCUGACCGAGCAACGCCGCGUGAGUGAAGAAGGUUUUCGGAUCGUAAAGCUCUGUUGUAAGAGAAGAACGUGUGUGAGAGUGGAAAGUUCACACAGUGACGGUAACUUACCAGAAAGGGACGGCUAACUACGUGCCAGCAGCCGCGGUAAUACGUAGGUCCCGAGCGUUGUCCGGAUUUAUUGGGCGGAAAGCGAGCGCAGGCGGUUUAAUAAGUCUGAAGUUAAAGGCAGUGGCUUAACCAUUGUUCGCUUUGGAAACUGUUAAACUUGAGUGCAGAAGGGGAGAGUGGAAUUCCAUGUGUAGCGGUGAAAUGCGUAGAUAUAUGGAGGAACACCGGUGGCGAAAGCGGCUCUCUGGUCUGUAACUGACGCUGAGGCUCGAAAGCGUGGGGAGCAAACAGG